CGCUUCCACACGAGGUCUGCUUCUCACGGAAAAUACCAAGCCCUAAGGAAACACCCUUGGGAAUAUUCACUUCCCCUCAGGCAGUCAGUAUUUACCGAGAGUCUGUAAAGGGACAUUCUCCUCAACACAACAUACAUUCCUUCCUGUGGGAAAGCUUUGGACUGCAUGGCCAGAACUUCCUACGUAAUCCUUUUAUGUUCACAAAAUGCUAAUUUGCUACUGUUUAAAUUAAUGUGUUCUUAGUAUUGGCCUGCCCUUAAAUAUAAAA
rnacentral:lncRNA from 1 species